GUGGAAGGUGGCCGAACAGGGUUCUUCCAGAGGGCCCCCCCUCAAUCCUGUUGUGCUAAGUUCAGAGGGUUGGGUGGAGGCUCUCCAGAAGGACUCUACAGAGCUCCGCACCCACA
rnacentral:pre_miRNA from 13 species